GAUGAACGCUAGCGGCAGGCUUAACACAUGCAAGUCGAGGGGUAUAUAGUUUUCGGAUUAUAGAGACCGGCAAACGGGUGCGGAACACGUACGCAAUCUGCCUCUGUCUUGGGGAUAGCCCAUAGAAAUGUGGAUUAAUACCCAAUAGUAUUAUAGAGUGGCAUCACUUAGUAAUUAAAAGAUUUAUUGGACAGAGAUGAGCGUGCGUCCCAUUAGCUAGUUGGUGCGGUAACGGCGUACCAAGGCGACGAUGGGUAGCUGGUGUGAGAGCACGACCAGCCACACGGGCACUGAGACACGGGCCCGACUCCUACGGGAGGCAGCAGUGAGGAAUAUUGGUCAAUGGGCGGAAGCCUGAACCAGCCAUGCCGCGUGAAGGAUGAAGGCGUUCUGCGUUGUAAACUUCUUUAUUUGGAGAAAUGUGUUCUACUGCAACCGACGGUACCAGAUGAAUAAGCACCGGCUAACU
rnacentral:rRNA from 1 species